GGCGCUCUGUAAGUGGUCGUCCUC
rnacentral:siRNA from 1 species